AACCGGGGAAGAUCCGUGCCGUCCACUUGUCGUCAAUCCAGCAAUUCUUUCUUCCCAGCUAUGGCGAGUGUGUGUGGCACCAGUGUAGCGCUCCUUGGUGCCCUAGCCGCAGCGUCAUCGUCCAUAGCUCCUCGCCAGAGAUGUAGGUACGCUCCUCUCGACUCGUUCCCUAGGGCAGGACGCACUGAAAUCUUCGGUUCUUGGAAUGCCGGCAGCGCAAUUCAGUCGCUUCCAUCGAAUUCUUCGCAAUGGUGGAUUUCCAGGCCAGCUACACAAGAUUAUUAUCGAUUGAGAGCGAGCUUGUGGGAUUCUAUCAGCGGUGUUCUAAAGACGAACUCGUCUACUCCAAUUGUAGAGCCAGUUCCCAGAAACGCGGAGGCAGAGAUCGAGGGAGAGGAAGACAUUGUCUUGGUAGAAAAGUGCCAAGAGAAUGGAACAAUACAAAGAAUUGUCUUCGCGACUGGAGCAGAGGUGGAUGUUUAUGAGCUACAACAACUUUGUGACAAGGUAGGAUGGCCGAGAAGACCGGUUGGAAAAGUCGAAGCGGCACUCAAGAACAGCUACAUGGUUGCGACGCUCCAUCUUCACAGACAAUUGCCUUCUGGAGGUUGUGAGGAGAGAUCGCUCAUUGGACUUGCUCGAGCGACGUCGGAUCACGCGUUUAAUGCGACGAUCUGGGAUGUUCUCGUCGAUCCAGACUAUCAGGGACAAGGACUAGGAAAAGCUCUCGUGGAGCAAAUGGUGAGGGCGUUGCUCCGCAGAGACAUUGGAAACAUCACACUUUUUGCAGACGCUCAAGUAGUGGAAUUUUACAGAGCUCUAGGCUUUCAAACGGACCCCGAGGGUAUCAAAGGAAUGUUCUGGUACCCUCGGUUCUAGUGUACAAGCAAAGCGCAGAAUAUUCACAAUUUGAAAUGGAAAUCUAGGGUUUCUCGGGGGUUUUAAUUUUUAGGGCGAUAGGAGGAAAUGCGUGAAGCCGGACGAUAGCGCUUGAGAUCGCGAUCGCUGUCUGUCUACUGCCACUGCGGAUCACGCAAAGAUUCAAUCGCUUUGAAAAUAAUAUUACAUCUCAGGGCGUUGACGAACGCGCAUUCUCGAUGCGGAGGUUCUUGGAUCGCUGCCGAAGAGAACGCUGUCGAUCGAAGUGAUAACAGAUUUAUUCUCUAGUCUAGGAUGAAUCAAUCAACCAAAAGCUUGGAUUU